CACAGUUCUACCAACAGAUCAGGUAUUACGUCAUCGCUUAAAGAACGAAAACCAACUUACUUUCCAAAUAAUCCUCAAGAUAUAGCAUUUUGUUUACAAAAUGAUACGAAGACCUUUAACAGAAAUAACAUUAAAAUUGGACGAUGUACAAGACUAUGAGAAUUCUCGAAAAGAUCAAGAAAGUAACUCAUCUAUAGUAGCAGAAAUGCAAGAUGAUGCAUCUAAAUCUCUUGGUACUGGGCCGAAAACGACAGAAGAAAUUCAUAAUAGAAUUGGUUAUGCUCCCAAAAAGAAGCCAAGUGGGCCAAGUACUGUUUAAAAUAGGUUAUGCAACUUGGGAAACCAACAGCGCCGAGUAAACAAUGCGCCUGCAUGAAGUCCAUUCGAAAUCAACACAUUCCUUACAUUUUUCUAAUCAUUAAUAAUCUAUUU